UUUCUUUUUUGCUAUUUUUAUUCCCAAUCUAUGAAAUCGAAAUGUUUAUUUUUCAUGCAUGUUUCAUGUUAUUUUUUUCUUUGUAAAAGCAUCCCUACUUUUUACCUCUCAGUAUUGCAUUAUUUAAAUAAUGUUAAACAUUUUAGAAAAAAAGACCAAACAUUAAAAAAAUAUCUUAAGGCCUGACAUGGCAAGCAUACUGAAUCAUGUGGUGUAGGCGCGCGCGCGCACGCGUGUGCAUGUGUGUGUGUGUGGGGGGGGGGGUGGUCUGAGGUGGGCGGGGACAAUUUAAAUAUGACUGCAAUGAAGCAUGUGUUUUGCUUUUCUUUCAAGAGAAUGUCUUUAUUUUCGCAGUGUGGACAAUAGGCGUGUGGCGCUCCAGGACCGCGUUGUAUCAAUCUUUUCGGCUCUGCGGUGCAGUGAGGUGAUGUGCAGCGACCAGACCCGUCCCGUACCCACAGCAUGUCCAAACAGAUUAGGGGUCAGGGACGACUGAAGCAAGACCUCUGCAAUUAUAUUCCUAACAGCAAUUUCCAACCAAAAAUAUAACCUCUAAAUCCCAGACUAACUCAACGAAUCUAAAACUGUUGACUUGUGAGUAAAUAAAGUGUUCAGGAAUAAUUAUCAGUACAACCAUGUCAAAUGAAAUGCUCCUGUGGGCAUAAAAAGCGAACAUAAUCCAGCAGCUUCAUUAUUGACCAACAACUCAGCAUAAACAUUUUUUCUAGACUUUCCAACUCUGCGGAAGUCUGGCAAGAGAAAUUCGAUUGCGGUUAUAGAUCUCGUAGUCCCAUCACUGGAACAGCUGUUAUUUUUCCCCUAAACCCGAUAGUCAAACACAGACACGGCGACCACUUAGGCCUCGCAUCCCAGACCAAGGAUUAACAGUCUUUUAUAUUCAAAUUUAACUAUACCAGACGACUAAAUCAGAAUAAGCAUUCAUUUAUAAAAUUGCUUCCACAAAUUUGAUUAUUAAUGAAUCAGAUAGGCUAGCCUCUAUCUGACACAUUAAGUCUUAACAAUUUGUUUACAAGAUGGAUGAAAAAUUUGCUACUUAGCGCGAUGAUGACUCACCACCAUGAUGCAAUUUAUCUAUUUGUUUCCCUAUGGUAAGCGAUAUGCUUAUUAAAAUCAACAUUUAAAAUGCAUAUAGGCCUAAUUUGAUAUCUUAUGCAAAAAAAAAAAAAAAAAAAAAAAAAAAAAGAUGGCCUUGAUGCAAGUAGCUAAACAUCAACAAAAACCAUAAGAAAAUCUACCUCAUUAUCUCAUUAGCGACAGCCAACCAAAGAGCAGUGACAAGAAAUUAUUAUAUAAUUCCCCGCUGGGCCCGAAAUGAAACGAGCAGUCUUUGAGAGUGGUCGCUCUAGUUUAGAUUAAUGGUUCCCAGCGCUUAUUCUGCAGUGCGGGUGAAAGGGCCAGGAUCACUAAUGAUUAUAAUAUAAUGUGUGGUGAUAACCACUCCCUUUGAGAUAUUAUCGUGCAGUGGGCAAUGCUCAUGGGACGAGCUGCGGAGCUGAAACUCGGCAGAUAGCUACUAAACAGGAGCAGAUUUCUGCACUGAAGCUCCAAGAGCAUGCACGAGUACAGUCCUGUCUGCUGCUGAUAUCAACAGCCAGGGGCUGAAUUAAAACGUUCUAUUUUUAUUUUUUUGUAAGCCAAGAAUGACUUUUUUGCCCCUUAAAAAAAAAGGGAAAAAAAAGGCAAACACUAUCCUGUGAUUAGCUGCUCUUUAAUACUGGCUACAAAUUAUGAGGUUGGGGGAACAUAUUUAUUUAUUUAUCUUCGUGUGAUGAUUAUUUAAGAUGCGUUUCUUACAUCUCAUUAAUGUAAAAUAAACGAGGUUGGCUGAUCUUUACAAGCUGUAAGAUAAUCUUAACAAACAUCCUACAUUAUUUUUGGAGGGCCUUUUCACAAACCAGACCGCUUGUUUUGUAGAACCGGUGCAACAAAAUCUCUGUCAGGCCCAAAGUGAACUACCACCCAAACUCUCCUCAAUAUAAAUGCAAAACAUCGUUCGAGGCGCUUAAAGUUAUACUUAAACAUUUCUCAACUGAAUAAAAAUGUUCACGGCUAUGAUAAGACAGGGUUUCAGAAAUAGUAAAGCUCAACUUUAUCAAGCCCAUAGAAAUCAAGGAAAGUGACCCAGGAUAAACGCAUUUAAUGUGAGUCCACGUGAUGUGGAUCUUACUUCGCCUAUAGGCUACAGUAGAAAACGUAACCGAUGCAAACAGAAGAGCAUUACAAUGGCAGACAUCAAAAUCUGCAAUAAUCAACAUACAUUAAUAGCAUGUUAGGUGUCGCUUUGCAUCUGAUAAACUGUGAAAGCAAGAAGAAAAAUCCGUUUAAACUACACAUAUUAGAUUUAGAUAAUUGUCAUCUGAAGCGCUCGUUUGUCUACGAACGUUUUUACGUGCAGGUUUUUACGUGCAGGUUUUUAGGAAACGUGCAGAAGAAAUGAAUAACUCCAUUAGUGUGACUAGCAAAAAAUAUAACAAACCACUUGAAACGUAAAGAAUAGGUUUAUAGCCUUUAAAUUAACAAAAGUGUAAAUGGUGCUAAUCGAUGUAGCCUAAUCCAAGCUCAGAAACCAGGAAAAAAAAAACCACACAUUUACGAACAGACCGGACACAUCCCUUCUCAUGGCAAUCAACUGCUAUGGAUCAAUAAUAAAGCUGCCUGACUAACUUCUCCGAGAGACUGCAGUGAACACAGGAAAAGGGGGGCGAUCCUAAAGGACCACGGGAGACAAGGCCUCGGCAAUCCCUCCUCAUUCAUCUUCAUUGCCUUUGUGUGCACAAAAAGCAAGCACUGCAUAAGGCUGUGGGUGGGAAUUAAUACUCAAAUGCUGCUGGAAGCCAGGCCCCCUUACAAAUCAUGUAAUUCCUGUUACUGGAAGACACACAUGUCCUAGAUUUAAUCAGUCCUGCAGGAAUCCCCUAUCAGAGCAUCACAGGUUUACCGUUUCUCCCGCUUCCCGACUGGCCUCACGAAAUGCAGAUUAGGCCGAGCAGCAAAUGUAUGCAUUAGACCGAACAUAAAUCUUACCUGCACACUCCAUUUCUAGAUAACUAUAUAUCUGUUAAAGAUAGAUAGACAGACGGUUGCAGAGUUUUAAGGGUGUUUCAACAAAAGGGAGAGGCUCAGUGAAUCAAGCUCUGUCCAACACACUGGGGCACAAAUUAAUUGUGGUUACCUGUUAGUGCAACAUAUGAAUUGCAUGAAUAAAAAUAAAUCUGUGUUUGAAUGAAUUGUGCUUGUUUAAUCAACUACAGCUCAAUAUAUUUAAUAUGCUUUUGAUCUUGAAUAUCUUUUGUUUAUCAUCUAAUGUCCAAGGACUACAUUUGAACUUAAGUGAUAGAAAACAUCUGUAAAUAUAUUGGAUUUCCUCUUUAUAGUGUUCACUAUAAAAGUAGUGAUUCCUAGACUACCAGGAAUCCUGUUGCAGUUGAGCAGAUAUUUAU